UAGUUGGGCACUUUAACGAGACUGCCGGUGACAAACCGGAGGAAGGUGGGGAUGACGUCAAGUCCUCAUGGCCCUUAUGGGUAGGGCUUCACACGUCAUACAAUGGUCGGUACAGAGGGUUGCCAAGCCGCGAGGUGGAGCCAAUCCCAGAAAGCCGAUCGUAGUCCGGAUUGCAGGCUGCAACUCGCCUGCAUGAAGUCGGAAUCGCUAGUAAUCGCGGAUCAGCAUGUCGCGGUGAAUACGUUCCCGGGUCUUGUACACACCGCCCGUCACACCAUGGGAGCGGGUUCCGCCAGAAGUAGGUAGGCUAACCGCAAGGAGGGCGCUUACCACGGCGGGGUUCGUGACUGGGGUGAAGUCGUAACAAGGUAGCCGUAGGGGAACUGC
rnacentral:rRNA from 1 species